GUCUUUUGCCCAUUUUUCCAUUGAUUGAUUGGCUUUUUUGCUGUUGAGUUGUAUAAGUUGCUUGUAUAUUCUAGAGAUUAAGCCCUUGUCGGUUGCAUCAUUUGAAACUAUUUUCUCCCAUUCUGUAAAUUGUCUUUUUGUUUUCUUUUGGGUUUCCUUUGCUGUGCAAAAGCUUUUCAGUUUGAUUAGGUCCCAUUGGUUUAUUUUUGCUUUUAUUUCUAUUGCUUUGGGAGACUGACCUGAGAAAAUAUUCAUGAGGUUGAUGUCAGAGAGUGUUUUGCCUCUGUUCUCUUCUAGGAGUUUGAUGGUGUUAAAUAGGUCAAAUUUUUAAUCACGGAAGUAGCACUUGUUCUACACUUCCUAUCAGCAGUGUGAUAAGGAGUGGCAUUUAUCAGGCAGCUGUAGGAUGGUACUUAAUAAAUUACUGUCCUUCUCAAUGGAGUACUGGUCGUACUUUAUUUCCAAUGAGUACUCCAUUUCUAAAUAGAAGUACUCUAUGUACUUUAUUUCCCAAGUUUGCGCACAUAAAUCAAGAGUACUUUAAGCCUGGUUUCAGCUUCUUCUAUAAAUUACUGUGCUCUCGGUAAAAACCUUGUUUCUGCGCCUCAGUUUUCUCUUACCUUUAAAAUGAGGAAACAGGAAGGAAAAUUAAGUUGCUUAUCUUGUUUAAUCUUCUCAAUUCUGUAACGUAGGUAUAUCCUACUUUACAACCAUCAUCACAAAACAGGAAAAGGAAACAAGCUUGGGGAUUAUGUUAUUGAGCCAAAGGCACACAGCUCAGAAAGGUCACAACUGGGAUUUGAACCUAGGUCUUUGCAGCAUCAAAAUUCAAGCUCACCGCAUUGCAGUAUACCGCUUCCUAGGCUGUCUUAUUGCUGAUGAGGUAGUUCUCUAUUCAGAGAUGGCAUUUUCCACUUGUAGUAGUUGAAGGUCCUGUUCUUCUGUAGUAAAAUGUGUCUCUAUAUGACCACCCUUAAAUCAAUGCAUAUUUUCUCUGUACUAGUUCUCUCUGUGAUUGUACACAGAAAGUGCUAGAGAUUUUUGUUUUCAUUACAGACAACUACUGUUAACCUGAAAUGCUGAAGUUAAAUGUCAUAACUUCUACCCCUGAAUAGAAGGCUUAGAAAAAUAAAAGCUUCCACGAAAUUAGGGACUUAGUACCUCUAAGGAUUAAAAAAAAAAAAA
rnacentral:lncRNA from 1 species